rnacentral:tRNA from 1 species
GAAAAGUUAGUUUAAAUAAAACAUUAAUUUGUCAAGUUAAAAAUAUUAAAUUAAUACUUUUCU